CGUCAGGACGAACGCUGGCGGCGUGCUUCAUACAUGCAAGUCGAACGAGAAUCUGACUUCGGUCAGAGGAAAGUGGCGGACGGGUGAGUAAUGUGUAGAGAAUCUGCCCUAGAGUGGGGGACAACAGUUGGAAACGACUGCUAAUACCCCAUAUGCGCGUACUUGAGAUAGUAUUCGUGAAAACUCCGGUGCUCUGGGAUGAGUCUGCAUCUGAUUAGCUAGUUGGCGGUGUAAUGGACCACCAAGGCGACGAUCAGUAGCUGGUUUGAGAGGAUGAUCAGCCACAAUGGGACUGAGACACGGCCCAUACUCCUACGGGAGGCAGCAGUAGGGAAUUUUGCGCAAUGGGGGAAACCCUGACGCAAGCAACGCCGCGUGAUUGAAUAAGCCCUUCGGGGUGUAAAGAUCUGUCAGUAGGGACGAAACUUGACGGUACCUACAGAGGAAGCAUCGGCUAACUCCGUGCCAGCCGCAGC
rnacentral:rRNA from 1 species